UACAAAAACAUUCGUACUGAGCAAACUGUUUCAUCUGGAACGGUUUUACAUGUUCACGUGUAAUCGGUAGAUCGAGACAACUCAAGAUGUUCAAACUUUUGUUUCUUACAAACUCAAUCUGCAGAUGUGAUGCAGUCGAACGCUCCGAAAGAGGAGUUUAUGCAGAUUGUUUCAUCAGAGGACACCUCAUUAGUUUUCACAUGUUUUAAGCGUGUUUAACAUGCAAACCAACUGAAAGCGACUCAAACUCCUCCGUGGUUUAAAUCCCGCUCAGUGAUGCAGAAAUGGGUAUUUCAACAUUCCAGAUCAUUAGCAAUUUAAAAUUUCACAUAACAUGUGUUGAGAUGUUUAGGAUGUUGGAUCGAGCUCUCGGCCCUGCGACCCGGGGGAAGGAGGCCAAGACAGACACGUGUUCGCACAGCAGAAUUAAAAACCCACCGUCGGGCCGCCGCCGCCGGCGGUCUUGAGUGACGUGAAUACUUGAGAGGUCUGCUCGGGCUUUUGUUCUACCGAUGUGUUCAAGGCCUGAGCUCUCAGCCGUGAUUUAGAAAGUGAACAAAACAAGACUGUUGUUCUGUGAGUUACGACGGCGCCUCAAUAUACCGUAUACACAACCUCACACACGCACACACACACAUAACCGCUCACGUUAUUGUCCAGUGCACUCCAGUAUUGUCUGUUGACAGAUUUAUUCUUAUUCUUGGUUUAUGUACCGGAUCCUUACUGAGAUCAAUAUUAAAUACGUGACAAGACUUGUUUGUGACGAGAGGCUCUCACUUAUUACACCUUAUAAAGGUCCUUACAUGGUACAAUACACACAGAUUAAGCUGCAGUACAGUACAUUUAAGCAUUAGCAGCGUAUAACUUUUAAAUAAUAAAAUAAAACUCAUUUCUAUUUUCUAUUUUUUUCUAUUUGCGCCGUCAGCCUCGGACGUUCUGCCUCAGCUCGGUGGUCGCAGAUUAACUUGCCACCCGAUUCUUGUGAGCAGAUGCCAGCGGGGGCUGUAAUCGGCCCCCACACGGACCCCCCCCCCCCUGUGUGCAGGAAUACUUCUGACCACUUAACAGUGGUGCGACAGCAGGUGGCCCUCAGUGGAGUCAGUGACUGCAAAUAUGAUUCCAUAUUAUUUUACAUUGUGCUCGGAAGAGGACAUGGACUGUGAGCAAAGUGGAGGACACCCGAGUAGUCGAACGUGACCUCGCGUGACCCCUAAGAAUGGAUCAAGUAGCAGUGUGUCUUUAAAGUGUACCCAUCCCACCGAGCCAAGUUGCCGUGGCAACCACCCUGCAUCCUUCAUUCCUUCAUUAAGGAGAGGAGCAGGACGGUGGAUGAAAUGGAUUCUGCAAACACUCUAAAGGCAGAUGGGUUUUUUGGGGGAGGGGAUGGAUUCGCCCGCCCCCUUCCCCCCCGGUUGGGGUAAUCUUUGUGGGACAAAAAGGAGUCCUGAAUGUGCCUUGAUGAGCGAGGAGCUCCCACGGUGGACCUCAGUUGCCGCGUUGUGUCUAGAACCUCUGAGCGGAGGAAUGUCUCUGGCGCCGGCCGGUAUGAGCUCCGCUUUCUGCACCUACAACUCAAAGAUUUGUGAUACAAAGAAACGUCCCGCGAGCUGCGUUCAGAGGCCCCUUUUGGCUGCGCUUCUAGAAAGUCUAAGAGUGACUUUUCUACUCUUUGCUGUAACUUGUAAACGAUUUCGAUGUGUGUAUGUUUCUUUUUUUUUUCACCUCCUCUGCUCUCCCUUUUGUUCGAGGGCUUGUAGAUAAAUGAGAAUCUCACCACUCCUGUGAUGUGAUUAUUCAGAACACUAAGUUUUAAGAGCACUUCAGCUACAGCUCCUUCACUUUGAACUUGAUUAUGCAACGCAGAGACCCGCCCUCUCUGUAAACCGGACCAUCCCAUUGGCUGUUUUACCGAAUUACAAUCACAGAGACCUCAAGAACUGGACCACUGUCCUACUGGAAUUUUAGUGUGUAUACUAAUGUGCUCUGUCUAACUGGGUUUUAAUACUGCAUGUGCAUGCAAACAAGGAAACUCUGAGAUAAAUGUGAUCUAUUUGUGCCUCUGUAUUAUUCUCAAGUCUCAAGUUUUCAAUUACGUACAAAUUUUUCAAAAGCACCUGUGAUUCCCUGCCGGCGUUUGAUAUGUGUGUUUCCAGCCUGUAAACUGAAUCGUAGAUCUCACGGAGAAGUUUGACAUUUGGGUAAAUAUGCUGAUUAGCUUUCAUCCCUCUGAUGUUUUGGCCUUUUUAAUGCGGCGCUCAGUAGGUGCAGAGAAGUGCACGCUGGCACAUUGAUACACCGCAACGGCUAAAUUCACUAGUGAUCUCCCAAAAUGUUGUCAUCUCCACUCUGUGCCAUUUACCUCAAAUAUAUGAAUAUCUAAACACGCUGUGAGAGAAAGUUUCGUUUUGCAGAAGGUUGAGGAAGGAGGAGUGCUCUGACAUCUGGGGACGCAUUUAUCAUUCUGUGCUGAAAAGGUGGAGGACACCUCGUGUUUGGAGGUGGGCACGGGCCUCCCCCCUUUCUAAAUGCACCUCUCCAGCAACUGCAACAUUCAUGUCCGCCCGCAUCCUUCAUCAAGCAGAAUUUAUAAAGCGAGCGUUUUGAAUAUGCAGCUAAAUAUCUCGGCCGCAAACGUUUGUCGCCUGUUUUAUUUUUCAUUAAAAAAAAACUUUUUUUUAACACGCACACGCACGCACACACACACACGCACGCACGCACGCACACACACACACAUGAGUGAAAGAGCUGCGAAAGCCAACUGUGUUAGAUCAUGUCAUCGGGGACUCGACAUAUGUCCCCGUGGCUUCAGGUCUCGUCCUGUGCUGAUGUGAGAGAGACAGAGAGAGAGAAAGCUGGUGGAAGCCGCUUGCAUCCCUCCAGGGCGGCUGGUCCAAAACACACAGCACUGCCAAGGAGUUGAUAGCAACAAAUGCAUGUGUGUGUGUGUGUGCAGCUUUAGACUAUGGAGUGUGUGUUUCACAUUACCUCCUGAGGCAUCACCCAUCUGCUCGGUGUAGCAUUAAAGUGUGUGAGCAAAGUGUGAGUGUGGAAGCUCACCCUGCAUUUGUGUGUGUGUGUGUGUGUGUGUGUGUGUGCACCCCCGUACACCCUGAACAAGCCAUUCCUGCAGCCAUUAAUGCACAUUUAAAUGUACAAGCUGUCGUACCUCACGCACUAUCAACUAGUGUGUUAUCAUAGAAUGGCGAUAAUCCCCCGUGCUGCUUUUCACACCAGAGUUCAUUGUCCUUCGUCGUCUUCGCCGCGGGCAUCUUGCAGAGCGUCACCGCCCAUCACAUGAUCGGAUGGAGCCCACAGAUUGUGAUGCAAAACACAAGUGCGUGUUACAUCAGACACAGUGACCGUAGAGCUGCUUUUUCGGGCUGCAUUCGGGCUCCCAGAAGAUGUUUUCCGUCUUAGAGGAGCACAGGGAGCUGUUUUCGUGUGCGUCUGCGUCCGAAUCAUUGAAAAAUUGAUGAGGGGGGUCGAAAAGGUGCCCGUGUGCACAGACUCCAGCUGUGACCUCAGUUGAUCAGAAUCGUUGCCGGCCAUGAAAUCGGUAGCUUCCCUUUGCUGCGAGGGGCGCUGGGGGGGUUCAACGCGGAGGGGACGUUUGUAUCCGUGUAAAAGAAUACAGAUUUAAUUUUUCUUCUGAAAACUCCAGAUUAAGAGAGUUUCUGUUGCUGGGACAGGAGGGUCUGGUUUUGGGGUUAGCGAAUCAUUUGAGAAAAUGAUGUGUUUUUGCACCACAACUGAAUCCUCUCCCAGCCGGAGGUCACCAAGGUCAUUGUUCUACCAAGAGGAACAAACAGGAACGUUCAACUGCAUGACCCUGGUUACGUGUGGAUAUUGUAGAUGAACCCACAAAUGACUCCCCGCCCUUUGCAAAGAGAUUCAACUUUAAAUUAAUAGAUAGAAAUUUAGGGUAAUACAGUUAUUCAAGGUGUCCACUGAGACAGUUUGCUUGGACUAGCAUGAAGACGCUGUUCUGGCUCUGAGGGAGGUAAUUGAAAAAAAGAAAUCAGCAUAUUUGUCGCGCUGAGUCAGUUGAGAAGAUCGAUGCCACGCUCAUGUCUGAAUGCUGAAGACGAAGCUGGUAAAUCUGUUAGCUUCGGUUAGCACACGGACCGGUAACCGGGGGCAACAGCCAGCAUUUCAUAUGGACUAUGCUUUGGAUCUAUUGUCUUUAGUCAAAGUGGCAUAAACCCUCUCCUGUAACUCACUGCAUUAAGGCGAAUCCCCCUCGGAUACCUAAGAUUCCUUUACAUCAACGUGUGUAUGAACUGUUUGGGGUGAUGCAAAGACAUUUUUUGUUUGCCUUCUAAUCUUACACACAAACUAAGCCAUGUUUGAACCGAAUGUUCUCUCUCUGCACAUUUAAAACAAAGCCUGCUUCAUCAUAUAACAAACAAGAGAUUCUUUAUUGUCUAUAAACUUCACAAAACUUGCAAUAUCUGUCACAAAUAUACUUGCAACAAUGACGUUCUCUAAUAUUCUUUUCUACAGUAUGAUGUAAUAAAUUCUAUUUAAUGUCUUUUUUAAAUAAGAACCAACACACACUGACUGUUAACCCUGUACCAGUUUCUUUCUUAGCCGAUCUCUCUGUGUUAUUGUUGUAAAUGGUGUUUUCUGACAAAUUGCUUUCUGGUGCUGUUGUUUGACUCUGUGUUUACAGUUAAGACUUCUCCAGAGUCAUCUUUGUAACUGGACGAAUCUGGAGACAUCUGGUUCUAACUGAAUAAAGGGGUUUUUGGCAGCUGUUUGUUAGCCGUUGUCACGGUGCUUUUCUCACCUCCCCGGAGUUCAAAGAAUAAUUCAAUAUUUUAUUUCAUAACACCUGACAAUACAAAGGUAUUUUUUGUUACUUUUAUAAUAAU
ensembl:lncRNA